rnacentral:lncRNA from 1 species
GGAGACUUGAGAAAAAUUCACAAGAUCGAUAUCGUCUUAACACCGUAAGUCUCCUGCAUAUGGAAAUUGAUUCGAAUUCUUAUUAUGUUUUAGCCUUAAAUUCUCAUUCUCUGGCAGCUCUUGAGUAGUUUAUUUCAGCAGUCAGCACCAUCUCACACACACUCUACGCAGGGAAGCCGAUGAAUAUAAGUGAGUGUUCCGAAAAAGAAAAAAAAAGAGAAAGAAAAGGGAAUGCACCU